UAGGGAAUCUUCCACAAUGGACGAAAGUCUGAUGGAGCAACGCCGCGUGAGUGAAGAAGGGUUUCGGCUCGUAAAACUCUGUUGUUAAAGAAGAACAUAUCUGAGAGUAACUGUUCAGGUAUUGACGGUAUUUAACCAGAAAGCCACGGCUAACUACGUGCCAGCACCCGCGGUAAUACGUAGGUGGCAAGCGUUGUCCGGAUUUAUUGGGCGUAAAGCGAGCGCAGGCGGUUUUUUAAGUCUGAUGUGAAAGCCUUCGGCUCAACCGAAGAAGUGCAUCGGAAACUGGGAAACUUGAGUGCAGAAGAGGACAGUGGAACUCCAUGUGUAGCGGUGAAAUGCGUAGAUAUAUGGAAGAACACCAGUGGCGAAGGCGGCUGUCUGGUCUGUAACUGACGCUGAGGCUCGAAAGUAUGGGUAGCAAACAGG
rnacentral:rRNA from 1 species